UACGAAGGGGGCUAGCGUUGCUCGGAUUUACUGGGCGUAAAGGGCGCGUAGGCGGACAGUUAAGUUGGGGGUGAAAGCCCGGGGCUCAACCUCGGAAUUGCCUUCAAUACUGGCUGUCUUGAGUGUGAGAGAGGUGUGUGGAACUCCGAGUGUAGAGGUGAAAUUCGUAGAUAUUCGGAAGAACACCAGUUGCGAAGGCGGCUCUCUGGACUGUAACUGACACUGAGGCACGAAAGCGUGGGGAGCAAACAGG
rnacentral:rRNA from 1 species